GCGGGAAUAGCUCAGCAGGUAGAGCACGACCUUGCCAAGGUCGGGGUCGCGAGUUCGAAUCUCGUUUCCCGCUCCA
rnacentral:tRNA from 2 species